GCCAGACUCCUACGGGAGGCAGCAGUGAGGAAUAUUGGUCAAUGGUCGGGAGACUGAACCAGCCAAGCCGCGUGAGGGAUGAAGGUACAGAGUAUCGUAAACCUCUUUUGUCAGGGAACAAAGGCGGGGACGUGUCCCCGGAUGAGUGUACCUGAAGAAAAAGCAUCGGCUAACUCCGUGCCAGCAGCCGCGGUAAUACGUAGGUGGCGAGCGUUAUCCGGAAUGAUUGGGCGUAAAGGGUGCGCAGGCGGUCCUGCAAGUCUGGAGUGAAACGUAUGAGCUCAACUCAUGCAUGGCUCUGGAAACUGGAGGACUGGAGAGCAGGAGAGGGCGGUGGAACUCCAUGUGUAGCGGUAAAAUGCGUAGAUAUAGGGAAGAACACCAGUGGCGAAGGCGGCCGCCUGGCCUGUUGCUGACGCUGAGGCACGAAAGCGUGGGGAGCAAAUAGGAUUAGAUCCCCGCUUA
rnacentral:rRNA from 1 species